GUCACUAAUAAUAGUAAAAAAAUCAAAAUCAAUACUGGUGACAACGGUGAUAGUAAUGAUGAUAAUGAUGGUGGUAAUCGAAUCGUUAAAAAUCAUCGCCAAUCCACUGUAGAUGAUGAUGGUAAAUCCAAUAAUAAUCCUGAUAAUAAUAAUGAUACCGAUAUCGAUGUCAAUGAUGAUAAUGAUGCUGUCGAUGAUAGUGAUGUUAAUGAAGAAAAUAAAAACAAAGAUCUCGAUGUUGACCAAAGAACAUGAUCAAAAAAAAAAAAACAAAAAUUGAUGACUGAAUCAUAUCUUAAUUCACACUCACUUCAUUUAAUUUAUCGAUUAAAUCAAACUCAUCAUCAUCAUCAUCAUCAUUUGUGGAUAUUGUGUAUACAUUUAUUGUCGUUGAUCAAAUUUUUUCUCAUUUCAUUUUAUCAUCAGUGUUUUUUUUUUUUGUUCAAACACAAAAUGAUUGAAAUUUUGUAGCUUUUAAUUAUAUUCACUCAAUCAAUCAAUCAAUCAGACACAAUUUUUAACAUCGUUGCCAUCCUAUCCUAUCUAAAUAUAUCUUUCAAAUGUUUUAAAUUUUCUUUUUUUGAUAUUCUACUAUUAUGUCCGAUUUUAGUUUCUUUUUUUUCAAUUUUUCUUUGUAUCUUAUACACCAAAAAAAAAACAACAACAAAAAAAUUUAUCCAAUUGACCAACAAACACGGACGAAUUGCACAGAUUGAAUUGGUUUUCGCUGUUAUCAAUUUUUUUUUCUUUCUGUCUAUCUUCUCAUUCCUUGGACAUAAUAAUAUAUUAAUAAUAAUAAUGUAAUGUUUACAUAAUUUACGAAUUUUUUUUCUUCAAUUCAAAUUAAAUCUAACUCAAUCGAUUGAUUCGAUUUUGAUUUAUAUAUAGAUUAGAUUGACAAUGUAAGAUGCCAUGACAAAAACCGGUAUUAUGUUUUCAUCAUCAUCAUCAUCAUCAUCAUCAUCAUCAACGACGAUCAACAAUUGAAUUCAUUUGACAUGUUUUUCUGCUCUAUCUCUAUUGACAAAAAAAAAAAUUCAAGAAACAUUUUUGAUUUUUGAUCCAUCGCCGCCAUAUAUACUUAAUUUGUAAAUUAUAAUUUUCUUUCUCUUUUUCUUUUGAUUAAAAAUAAUUAAAUGAUGCUUUUGAAAUGA